UACGUAGGGUGCAAGCGUUAUCCGGAAUUAUUGGGCGUAAAGAGCUCGUAGGCGGUUUGUCGCGUCUGCCGUGAAAGUCCGGGGCUCAACUCCGGAUCUGCGGUGGGUACGGGCAGACUAGAGUGAUGUAGGGGAGACUGGAAUUCCUGGUGUAGCGGUGAAAUGCGCAGAUAUCAGGAGGAACACCGAUGGCGAAGGCAGGUCUCUGGGCAUUAACUGACGCUGAGGAGCGAAAGCAUGGGGAGCGAACAGG
rnacentral:rRNA from 1 species